CGUGUAGGCGGGAAUACAAGUCAGAUGUGAAAUACUGCGGCUCAACUGCAGAACGGCAUCUGAAACUGUAUUUCUUGAGUACUGGAGAGGAAAGCGGAAUUCCUAGUGUAGCGGUGAAAUGCGUAGAUAUUAGGAGGAACACCGGUGGCGAAGGCGGCUUUCUGGACAGUAACUGACGCUGAGACGCGAAAGCGUGGAGCAAACAGGAUUAGAUACCCUGGUAGUCC
rnacentral:rRNA from 1 species